rnacentral:rRNA from 1 species
AUACGUAGGUGGCAAGCGUUGUCCGGAUUUACUGGGUGUAAAGGGCGCGUAGGCGGGAUAGCAAGUCAGAUGUGAAAUCUAUGGGCUUAACCCAUAAACUGCAUUUGAAACUGUUAUUCUUGAGUAUCGGAGAGGCAGGCGGAAUUCCUAGUGUAGCGGUGAAAUGCGUAGAUAUUAGGAGGAACACCCGGGGCGAAGGGGGCCUGCUGGACGACAACUGACGCUGAGGCGCGAAAGCGUGGGGAGAAAACAGGAUUAGAUGCCCUGGUAGUCCACGCUGUAAACGAUGAAUACUAGGUGUGGGGGGACUGACCCCUUCCGUGCCGCAGUUAACACAAUAAGUAUCCCACCUGGGGAGUACGGCCGCAAGGUUGAAACUCAAAUGAAUUGACGGGG